GACGAACGCUGGCGGCGUGCCUAAUACAUGCAAGUCGAACGCACUCUCGUUUAGAUUGAAGGAGCUUGCUCCUGAUUGAUAAACAUUUGAGUGAGUGGCGGACGGGUGAGUAACACGUGGGUAACCUGCCCUAAAGUGGGGGAUAACAUUUGGAAACAGAUGCUAAUACCGCAUAAAACCUAACACCGCAUGGUGUAGGUUGAAAGAUGGUUUCGGCUAUCACUUUAGGAUGGACCGCGGUGCAUUAGUUAGUUGGUGAGGUAAAAGGCUCACCAAGACCGUGAUGCAUAGCCGACCUGAGAGGGUAAUCGGCCACACUGGGACUGAGACACGGCCCAGACUCCUACGGGAGGCAGCAGUAGGGAAUCUUCCACAAUGGACGAAAGUACUGAUGGAGCAACGACCGCGUGAGUGAAG
rnacentral:rRNA from 1 species